rnacentral:rRNA from 1 species
CAGCAGCCGCGGUAAUACGUAGGGUGCAAGCGUUAAUCGGAAUUACUGGGCGUAAAGCGUGCGCAGGCGGUUCGCUAAGACAGAUGUGAAAUCCCCGGGCUUAACCUGGGAACUGCAUUUGUGACUGGCGGGCUAGAGUAUGGCAGAGGGGGGUAGAAUUCCACGUGUAGCAGUGAAAUGCGUAGAGAUGUGGAGGAAUACCGAUGGCGAAGGCAGCCCCCUGGGCCAACACUGACGCUCAUGCACGAAAGCGUGGGGAGCAAACAGGAUUAGAUACCCGUGUAGUCCCUGUCUCUUAUAC